rnacentral:rRNA from 1 species
GCAAGUCGAGCGGGGAAGGGUAGCUUGCUACUUGACCUAGCGGCGGACGGGUGAGUAAUGCUUAGGAAUCUGCCUAUUAGUGGGGGACAACAUCUCGAAAGGGAUGCUAAUACCGCAUACGUCCUACGGGAGAAAGCAGGGGACCUUCGGGCCUUGCGCUAAUAGAUGAGCCUAAGUCGGAUUAGCUAGUUGGUGGGGUAAAGGCCUACCAAGGCGACGAUCUGUAGCGGGUCUGAGAGGAUGAUCCGCCACACUGGGACUGAGACACGGCCCAGACUCCUACGGGAGGCAGCAGUGGGGAAUAUUGGACAAUGGGGGGAACCCUGAUCCAGCCAUGCCGCGUGUGUGAAGAAGGCCUUUUGGUUGUAAAGCACUUUAAGCGAGGAGGAGGCUACCGAGAUUAAUACUCUUGGAUAGUGGACGUUACUCGCAGAAUAAGCACCGGCUAACUCUGUGCCAGCAGCCGCGGUAAUACAGAGGGUGCAAGCGUUAAUCGGAUUUACUGGGCGUAAAGCGCGCGUAGGUGGCCAAUUAAGUCAAAUGUGAAAUCCCCGAGCUUAACUUGGGAAUUGCAUUCGAUACUGGUUGGCUAGAGUAUGGGAGAGGAUGGUAGAAUUCCAGGUGUAGCGGUGAAAUGCGUAGAGAUCUGGAGGAAUACCGAUGGCGAAGGCAGCCAUCUGGCCUAAUACUGACACUGAGGUGCGAAAGCAUGGGGAGCAAACAGGAUUAGAUACCCUGGUAGUCCAUGCCGUANACGAUGUCUACUAGCCGUUGGGGCCUUUGAGGCUUUAGUGGCGCAGCUAACGCGAUAAGUAGACCGCCUG